ACAGAGGGGGCAAGCGUUGUUCGGAAUUACUGGGCGUAAAGGGCGCGUAGGCGGCCUUCUAAGUCGAACGUGAAAUCCCCGGGCUCAACCCGGGAACUGCGUCCGAUACUGGAAGGCUUGAAUCCGGGAGAGGGAUGUGGAAUUCCAGGUGUAGCGGUGAAAUGCGUAGAUAUCGGUAGGAACACCAGUGGCGAAGGCGGUCUCCUGGGGCCUGUUUGACGCUGAGGCGCGAAAGCUGGGGGAGCCAACGGGA
rnacentral:rRNA from 1 species